AAUUAACUCAAAAAAUAUGUUCUGUAACCAUAUGGUCCCCAAGGAGAAAUGUAUUCUCUCAAGGCAAAUCUGCACUGCCCUGGUCUGACCUGGGACUCUGGGGACACUGCCCCUGUGCUGAGUUGCUGAGAUGAGCCAGCCCUGCAGCUGUGCCCAGUCUGUCCCAUCCCCUGCUGAUUUGCAUGUUCCCAGAGCACAACCCUCUGCCCUGAAGAAUUCUUUAUAGGCUGAUCACACCCUGUGCAGGAGUCAGUCUCAGUCAGGACACGGCAUGGACAUGAGGGUCCCCGCUCAGCUCCUGGGGCUCCUGCUGCUCUGGCUCCCGGGUGCCAGAUGUGACAUCCAGAUGACCCAGUCGCCAUCUUCUCUGUCUGCAUCUGUAGGAGACAGAGUGACCAUUACUUGCCAGGCGAGUCAGAGCCUUAGCAAUUAUUUAAAUUGGUAUCAGCAGAAACCAGGGAAAAUUCCUAAGCUCCUGAUCUAUAGGGCAUCCAGUUUGCAAAGUGGAAUUCCCUCUCGGUUCAGCGGCAGUGGAUCUAGGACGGAUUACACUCUCACCAUCAGCAGCCUGCAGCCUGAAGAUUUUGCCAGUUAUUACUGUCAACAGGGUUAUAGUUACCCUCCCACAGUGUUACAAGUCAUAACAGAAACCCCCAAGGAAGCAGAUGUGUGAGGCUGGGCUGCCCCAGGGCUCCUUCUGGUGCCUCUAUCUGCUGAGGGCAUUUCUCACAGUCACGUUUUGAUAGUCAUUGGGAGAUUUUCCUAGAGGGGGCCAGGGAGGUUCCUCUGAACCCUAAGCCUCUUUCUCUCUCAUCCCCAGCAGAAAAGAUGUGACAAUGUCUGUCUUGGCAGAAUAAAUAAGAGCGAUAAGUUCACCUGAGGAUAGUCUGUGUUAU